rnacentral:rRNA from 1 species
CCUUCGGGAGGCAGCAGGGGGGAAUCUUGCACAAUGGGGGAAACCCUGAUGCAGCGAUGCCGCGCUGAGCUGAAGAAGGCGUUUGGGUUGUAAUACUCUUUCGUCGGCGGAAGAAAAUGACG